rnacentral:rRNA from 1 species
AGCGAACGCUAGCGGCGGGCCUAACACAUGCAAGUCGAGCGGAGGGGCAGUCAGUGGCGCACGGGUGCGUAACACGUAGGUAAUCAACCCUCUGGUUGGGGAUAACACUUCGAAAGGAGUGCUAAUACCCGGUAUGGCGCAGCGGUCUUCGGAUCGCGGCGAGAAAGACCCGCAAGGGUUGCCAGAGGACGAGCCUGCGGCCCAUCAGCUAGUUGGCGAGGUAACGGCUCACCAAGGCGAAGACGGGUAGCUGGUCUGAGAGGAUGAUCAGCCACACUGGAACUGAGACACGGUCCAGACUCCUACGGGAGGCAGCAGUGGGGAAUAUUGCGCAAUGGGCGAAAGCCUGACGCAGCCACGCCGCGUGAGCGAUGAAGGCCUUCGGGUCGUAAAGCUCUGUGGGGAGAGAAGAAUAAAGCCUGUGAAGAGCAGGCCUUGACGGUAUCUCCUUAGCAAGCACCGGCUAACUCCGUG